ACCCGCUGAACUUAAGCAUAUCCAUAAGCGGAGGAAAAGAAACUAACAAGGAUUCCCCUAGUAACGGCGAGUGGGGCGGGAUGAGCUCAAAUUUAAAAUCUGGCUGGUUUACUAGUCCGAAUUGUAGUUUAAAGAAGCGUUUUCGGUGGCAGCCUGGGUAUAAAUCCUUUGGAACAGGGUAUCAUAGAGGGUGAGAAUCCCGUCUUUGACUCAGUGCAUGCUACUAUGUGAUACGUUUUCAAAGAGUCGAGUUGUUUGGGAAUGCAGCUCAAAAUGGGUGGUAAAUUUCAUCUAAGGCUAAAUAUUGGCGAGAGACCGAUAGCGAACAAGUACCGUGAGGGAAAGAUGAAAAGAACUUUGAAAAGAGAGUUAAACAGUGCGUGAAAUUGUUGAAAGGGAAACGCUUGACACCAGUCAUGCGAGCGGAAAAUCAGUCUUUUGCAGUGGGGAGUUGUGUGGGUUCGGACCGCAAGGCCGGCCUGCGCUGCAUCUCUGCUGUAAGUGAUGCACUUUUUCGUUUGCAGGCCAACAUCAGUUUCUUCUGCUGGACAAAACUCUUGAGAAGGUAGCAGCUUUGGCUGUGUUAUAGCUCUUGAGCGAUACAGUGGAGGGGACUGAGGUUUUCGCAGCGCGUGCUCUCGGGCAAGGCUGAUUGGGUGCUAUGGGAUCGUUCGGUGUACAAUGCUUGCAUUUUGCGCCGUGUCUUUUCUGCACUCGCUCAACUCGGCUCUUCCGCGCUUAGGAUGUUGGCUUAAUGGUUUUAAUCGACCCGUCUUGAAACACGGACC
rnacentral:rRNA from 1 species